UCCUGCACCUGCCGGCGACCGGCGCACGGGUGAGUAACACGUAUGGAACCUGCCCGCCACAGGGGGAUAACCCGGGGAAACCCGGCCUAAUACCCCAUGCCGCCCGGACCGGGCAUCCGGUCCGGGCGAAAGGAGGAAUCCGGUGGCGGCUGGGCAUGCGGCGCAUUAGCUUGACGGCGGGGUAACGGCCCACCGUGGCGACGAUGCGUAGGGGUUCUGAGAGGAAGGCCCCCCACACUGGAACUGAGACACGGUCCAGACUCCUACGGGAGGCAGCAG
rnacentral:rRNA from 1 species